UCACAGAGCAGCGAUUACCUCUCACUCUUAAGAGUGGAGGAGAUCGCGUGAGGCUGGUAGAUUUGGUACUUAAGAGUGGAGGAGAUCGCGUGAGGCCUGGUUUCACAGAGCAGCGAUUACCUCCCGCUCUUAAGAGUGGAGGAGAUCGCGUGAGGCUGGUUUCACAGAGCAGCGAUUACCUCCCGCUCUUGGCAGUGGAAGGAUUGCACGUUCGUGUGUGAUCUGCCCAAUCCAAACCCUUGAGCUCCCAAACUCGCUUGGACAACCGCUUUU
rnacentral:SRP_RNA from 1 species